rnacentral:rRNA from 1 species
UACGGGGGGAGCAAGCGUUGUUCGGAUUUACUGGGCGUAAAGGGCGCGUAGGCGGCCACUGCAAGUCAGUUGUGAAAUCUCCGGGCUUAACUCUGAAAGGUCAACUGAUACUGUGCGACUAGAGUGCAGAAGGGGCAACUGGAAUUCUCGGUGUAGCGGUGAAAUGCGUAGAUAUCAAGAGGAACACCUGCGGCGAAGGCGGCUCUCUGGGCCUUACCUGACGCUGAGGAGCGAAAGCGUGGGUAGCGAACAGG